UACGUAGGGCGCAAGCGUUGUCCGGAAUUAUUGGGCGUAAAGAGCUCGUAGGCGGUUUGUCGCGUCUGCUGUGAAAACCUAAGGCUCAACCUUGGGCUUGCAGUGGGUACGGGCAGACUAGAGUACAGAAGGGGCAACUGGAAUUCUCGGUGUAGCGGUGAAAUGCGUAGAUAUCGAGAGGAACACCUGCGGCGAAGGCGGGUUGCUGGGCUGAUACUGACGCUGAGGCGCGAAAGCUAGGGGAGCGAACGGG
rnacentral:rRNA from 1 species